UACGUAGGGUCCGAGCGUUGUCCGGAAUCACUGGGCGUAAAGCGUCUGUAGGUGGUCAAAUAAGUCAACUGUUAAAUCUUGAGGCUCAACCUCAAAAUCGCAGUCGAAACUAUUAGACUAGAGUAUAGUAGGGGUAAAGGGAAUUUCCAGUGGAGCGGUGAAAUGCGUAGAGAUUGGAAAGAACACCGAUGGCGAAGGCACUUUACUGGGCUAUUACUAACACUCAGAGACGAAAGCUAGGGUAGCAAAUGGG
rnacentral:rRNA from 1 species